UGUUCUGUCACUCAUAUAUGCUUUUUAUCUUAAGCAUAUAUGCUUUUUAUCAAUACACCUUUGAGUACUCUUCUGUGCUGAUUAUCUCGCUUUCUCCGGGCUCUUUCAACGAAACAAGACUGUUCAUGUGAGGAACUGCUUGAACGUCCGACCUGCCUUCAUCUCCAUCCGAAUAUUUUUGCAAAGUCGACGUCUUGGGAUCAUAACAAAUUCACAUGUAAUGAAAUAGAUCUAGACGAAUCAAAUCCAAACGAGUCAAUUGAGUUAGAGAACAACAAACAGCUUACAAUGGAACUCUCAAACCAUAGAAGGAUCACAUCUUAGUAGCAUCAGGUUUGGUAUUAGCCAUUUGGUCAUAAUCAUUUUACGAGUCUUCCGACCCUCCCAAUCAAGCAGACCCAAAGGGUAAUUACGGUCAUUUGGUCUUAAUAAUCAUUGAUAACUUGCUUCCUUUCCCACUCUCUUUUCUCUCUCUCUCUCAGACCCCUUCAAUUUAUUAGGUUUCGAGUAUGGGCUAUUAAUAAUUUCUCAGUGAUCAUACAUAUUUCUUUUGUUGAGCAAUUCAUCAGCUAUUGGUGAUUCAUUGUUUGGCAGGCAUAAUUGGUGAUGAAUUAGAGUGUUUGGAAAGGGUAUUACAACUAUUCGAUUGAGUUUGUUUUCUUAAUUCCCUUUCCAGCACUCUAAGCCACCACCAAUUCGCCAUUAGAGAUUCUCCAGAAAGACCUUCCUCUAUCUGUGUUAAGAAUUCGCCGCAGAUGGGGAAGAAUCUGAAAGCAGCGUGUGCAGCGUGCAAGUAUCAAAGGAGAAAAUGUCCUCCCGAAUGUCCCUUUGCUCCAAUUUUUCCUCGAGAAAGAGAGGAAGAUUUCCAGAAUGUCUCUAGAGUUUUUGGUGCAAACAAUUUCAUCAAGCUAAUGACAAAAGCUAAGCCGUCAGACCAACAUUUAGCAGCUGAGGCAAUGAUAAUGGAAGCUAAUGCUAGAGUGUCAGAUCCUGUUCAUGGGCUGGCAAGUUUUGCAGAGACCCUUUCACAGAAAUUGGAUCUUCUUCUUUCUGAACUUGAUUUGGUUAAUCAACAAAUCCAAUUUCAUCGCCAGAGAAACAAGUUUUGCCAACACAGUUUUGGUGGAUUUUAGCUGAAGGAGUUUUCAUCAGCACUAGUGGCACCAGUCCCAUCUCUGUCCGCUGUCGCUGCAACAAUAGUAACUUAGCCCACCUAAGUUCUAUUCCCUUAAUGUAGCUUCUACCUUGAUCACUUGCAAGAGGUGUGCUCAGAUUGAUCUUGAGAAUGUCUUUCGAGAUGCUGUUAAGAUGCUAGUAGAAAGACUGCAGAGUCUACGACUUACUAUGGAUCUUGUUUAUGAUCUGACCCGAAAAGGAAGAAACUCUUAUGAAUUAGAAGGGGGUCUGGGUUUGUUAUUUUGUUUUAUUUUCUUAUGGAAGCAUUCUCUAGUUGUUGGUUGUAUUUUUAUUUUAUUUUCCUUUUUUUUUUCAAUUUAGUUUUAGAUGAUGAAUAAUGGAAUAAUGUCGUGAACUUGAAUUCUAUAUUAGAACAUUUCUCGUCUCUGAU